ACCAACUGUAGUCUUGAUAGUCCACAUGUAAUAGACUGCAAUAAUGGACAAUGUCUGGUCUCAAACAAGGGUCCCAGCUGCUACUGUGCAUCAUCAAGCCAGUUCUGGUACACUGGUGACCAGUGCCAGGUAGCAGUCAGUAAGCCUGGUAUUUAUGGCAGUGUGGCUUCCAUUCUUACUUUUCUUCUGAUAAUCAUUUUCUUGCUGGCUUCCUCUUUAUACCGGCGGCAACAUAACAAGGACAAUCGAAAUUUAAUUGAUCCAGAAAGAAACUAUCAGGAGGAUGACUGGGAUUUUACUGCUCAAAAUACUGUCAUUGUCAAUGCCAGUUGUCUCUUGGAGACAUCAUCUGAAAGUGAUGCAGCAUCAAUAACUCUUCCAACUUUGGGGUCUCCAUUCGGAUCUCAGAGUUCUAGACCCGGCAAACAAAACUGUCCUUAGAAAAUGCUAAUUUUUACAAGAUGAGCAGACCCAGAUCCAACCUCAUCAACAAAUCUUUACAGUGAGUCACCAACAUCUCUGUGUACAAAGACUAUACAACAAGUGGUGCAUAACGUUCUGUCAACUCUGUAGCAAAG